rnacentral:rRNA from 1 species
UGACCAACCUGCCCCUUGCUCUGGGAUAACCCCGGGAAACCGGAGCUAAUACCGGAUACGGGACCGUGCGGCAUCACGCGGUCUGGAAAGUUUUUCGGCAAGGGAUGGGGUCGCGGCCUAUCAGCUUGUUGGUGGGUAAUGGCCCACCAAGGCGACGACGGGUAGCCGGCCUGAGAGGGCGACCGGCCACACUGGGACUGAGACACGGCUCAGACUCCUACGGGAGGCA